rnacentral:rRNA from 1 species
AGAAUCAACGCUGGCGGCGUGCCUAACACAUGCAAGUCGAACGAGAAAGGGUAGCAAUACCUGAGUAAAGUGGCGCACGGGUGAGUAACACGUGACUAACCUACCUUUUAGUGGGGGAUAACCUAGGGAAACCUGGGCUAAUACCGCAUAAUACCUACGGGUCAAAGCAGCAAUGCGCUGAAAGAGGGGGUCGCGGUCGAUUAGUUAGUUGGCAGGGUAAUGGCCUACCAAGACUGUGAUCGAUAUCCGGCCUGAGAGGGCGCACGGACACACUGGAACUGAAACACGGUCCAGACUCCUACGGGAGGCAGCAGUGGGGAAUUUGCGCAAUGGGGGAAACCCUGACGCAGCAACGCCGCGUGGAGGAUGAAGUCCCUUGGGACGUAAACUCCUUUCGAUCGGGACGAUAAUGACGGUACCGGAAGAAGAAGCCCCGGCUAACUUCGCGCCAGCAGCCGC